UCGCCGCAUUCCAUCCAGUCUAGCUUUGCUUGUUCUAUAAAUAAAUUCAGAAUAGUCCUCUACUCCUCUCAUCGGCUGCUGCGCUUUGCGGUCAGUGUUCUUCGCCUUCACAACCUCUCUCUCUGUUUCUUCCGGGGCUCCACCGCUCCCCGGCACCGGCAGGCGCAAGAAACCAGUAGUGGCCAUGGAUCCCCCGUCCGCUCAGGUGAUGUCGGCGACCGACGACUUCCAGGACAAGACCAUCGACGAGUGCUGCUCGUGCUGCUACGACUGCUGCUCCAGCAUCCUCGACUUCCUGUGCUGCUCGUCCUGAUCGGCCGGUGCGGCCUCCUCCCCGGCCCUGAGGAACUUCUCGAGGAAGCAGAGGCUCGGCCUCGGAGUGCUCGCUAGUCUUGGGUUCUAGAUGUCCUGGAGUUCUUAGAUUCUUUAGGUCCUGCGGUGAUGAUACAUGUAAGCUCGACUCUGUUCAUUGAUGAUACUUGUAAGCUCGACUCUGUUCAUCAAUCGUCAGUAAGGAAGCCUGGAUCGAUUUCCUUUCUAGAAAUUUUACUGUGCGUGUUUGCAGAUAGAUUAGCUAUUUGGAAUGGCUGUUUAUCUGGAGAAA